rnacentral:tRNA from 2 species
GGGCAAUUAGCUCAACUGGCAGAGCGUUCCUUUGACGUGGGAGAGGUUGCAGGUUCGAGUCCUGCAUUGCCCA